rnacentral:rRNA from 1 species
UGACGAGUGGCGGACGGGUGAGUAAUGUCUGGGAAACUGCCCGAUGGAGGGGGAUAACUACUGGAAACGGUAGCUAAUACCGCAUAAUGUCGCAAGACCAAAGAGGGGGACCUUCGGGCCUCUUGCCAUCGGAUGUGCCCAGAUGGGAUUAGCUAGUAGGUGGGGUAACGGCUCACCUAGGCGACGAUCCCUAGCUGGUCUGAGAGGAUGACCAGCCACACUGGAACUGAGACACGGUCCAGACUCCUACGGGAGGCAGCAGUGGGGAAUAUUGCACAAUGGGCGCAAGCCUGAUGCAGCCAUGCCGCGUGUAUGAAGAAGGCCUUCGGGUUGUAAAGUACUUUCAGCGAGGAGGAAGGCAUUAAGGUUAAUAACCUUAGUGAUUGACGUUACUCGCAGAAGAAGCACCGGCUAACUCCGUGCCAGCAGCCGCGGUAAUACGGAGGGUGCAAGCGUUAAUCGGAAUUACUGGGCGUAAAGCGCACGCAGGCGGUCUGUCAAGUCGGAUGUGAAAUCCCCGGGCUCAACCUGGGAACUGCAUCCGAAACUGGCAGGCUAGAGUCUUGUAGAGGGGGGUAGAAUUCCAGGUGUAGCGGUGAAAUGCGUAGAGAUCUGGAGGAAUACCGGUGGCGAAGGCGGCCCCCUGGACAAAGACUGACGCUCAGG